GAUGAACGCUGGCGGCGUGCCUAAUACAUGCAAGUAGAACGCUGAAGGAGGAGCUUGCUCUUCUGGAUGAGUUGCGAACGGGUGAGUAACGCGUAGGUAACCUGCCUGGUAGCGGGGGAUAACUAUUGGAAACGAUAGCUAAUACCGCAUGACAACAGUUAUUGCAUGAUAACUGUUUAAAAGGGGCAACUGCUCCACUACCAGAUGGACCUGCGUUGUAUUAGCUAGUUGGUGAGGUAACGGCUCACCAAGGCGACGAUACAUAGCCGACCUGAGAGGGUGAUCGGCCACACUAGGACUGAGACACGGCCCAGACUCCUACGGGAGGCAGCAGUAGGGAAUCUUCGGCAAUGGACGGAAGUCUGACCGAGCAACGCCGCGUGAGUGAAGAAGGUUUUCGGAUCGUAAAGCUCUGUUGUAAGAGAAGAACGAGUGUGAGAGUGGAAAGUUCACACUGUGACGGUAUCUUACCAGAAAGGGACGGCUAACUACGUG
rnacentral:rRNA from 1 species